GCCCUUGUAGCUCAGUGGUAGAGCACUCCCUUGGUAAGGGAGAGGUCCCGGGUUCAAAUCCCGGCGAGGGCA
rnacentral:tRNA from 10 species